UUUUUUUUCCCAAACCAGUUAAGCGCAAACCACGCCCCCUUACGUUACAACGCCACCCCGCAGCCAUGACUCUCGCCUCUGCAUCGAUUUCAUUGGUCAAAGGUGUUACGUAGUCACCUAAGCGGUUCAGACGUCUCCUUAAGGCAAGGCUGAAUAUUAUGGAUGCGAAUUUGGCGCUGACAAACGCGGAUUACGCUUGUUCUGGCUGUAAUGAAGACCAAGCCUCACAUCUGAAGGACUGGUUACCUUCUGGGUAUGAUUAUCAUUUCUGCACCUAUCGGUCGUACACUACACAAGGCACAUCAAACUUGGACCACAAAAGUUUUGAGGUAUCACUCAGAAUUGCACUGAAAGAAAUUUGUGAGGUGAAAGAAUGGGUGAAAAAGCUUAGUGAGUCAUCAGGAGUGAGUUGGAGAGUGGCAGUGACCAAACCAAGUAAGGGACAACGUGUGCUUUAUAAGGCUCAUUAUAGGUGCCAGCAUAAUGUUUGUGUCCGAUCAGGCAUGGCUAAUCAAAGACGGCUGUCAAAAAAUACACAAUGUGGGGCAAAAAUGGUUUGCACUCUGGUAAAUACUGUAGACGCAAGGGGAGCAUCUAGUAGGAGCAAAGAUCCCCAUAUAACCACCUACCCAACCUCUGUGCGUUUGUACAAUGUACAUAAUCAUAACAUCUUUGUUGCGGAGGCACUGAGGCACAGGGAUGUGGGGGCCAAGGCAAUUGAGACCCUGACUCAAUUGUUUGAGAUUGGGCACAACCCAACCUCAGCUCUGGCUGUACUUAAAAGUGACCUGCUGGCUGAGCAUGGCAACAAAUAUGUAUAUGCCUCAGCCAACCGUACCCUUUGCCCAGACCUUCAGUUUUGCUACAGAAACAAGAAGUUCUUGACCUAUUUACAGAGUCUUUAUAGUCGACGAGAAAGUUGGGCUCUCAGCUACAGGAGGGACUUGCCAACACGUGGCAAUCAAACAAAUAACUAUGUGGAAGCUGCAAUGCGUGUAUUGAAAGACAAAAUACUUCAAAGGACGAAAGCAUUCAACCUUCCUCAAUUAUUCAACCUUUUCACCACCCGACUAGAGAUGUACUAUGAAGCACGUGUGACAGAUAUCGCACUUGGCCAUUGGGAGGCAUUUCACCGGUCAAGAUUCCUUGCUACAGAAAGUAAUAUUAAACCAUCUGAUAUUUCUCAGAUGAUGUUGUCCGAUUACUUGCAAAUUUACUGCGAUGGUGUCAAGAUUCUCACUCUAUGUUCGGCUCCUGUGUGGCGUGGUUGUUUCGUGUCUGUUGGAUUACGUGUCUCAGUUGGAUUGUGUAUUGUCGUCGACGUCUUCGUGUGGAUGUUCCCGUGUUCAGCCUGGAUUGCACCACUGCUCACCACUCCACCAACGCCGCACUCAAUACCAUCAUCACCAACUUCCACCGUAGUCUACGCCACCAUUGCCAUCAACCCCGGACCGUGCUACUUCCGCAUUGACUUUGCUUUCUCUCUCUUUGUUUAUAUAUUUAAUAAACAUUGUCAUAUUUCACCUGCAUUUGCUUCCACGCAUUUCGUGUCAUUACAGAAGAAUCUGGCUAACAUGGAAGCAGCAGGAGACCAACCCACCGCGACGCUCGAAGAGUUUCUUCAGCGAUCUCUGGCUCGUAUGGAUCAUCAAGAUAAAGUCAUUGAGGAUAUGCAGAAGGCUGUCCACGCAAUGGUGGCGAAAGUGUCCGAGCUCUCCCAGCGAUCUCCACACACCACGCUACCCACUGCGCCACCCACGCCGCCCGCACCAUCUUCACCUCCAGGGGGUAGUUUCUGUCCAGAACCACGGUUACCCAUUCCCGAGAAAUACUCCGGUGAGCCCAAUUACUGUCGCACAUUCCUAUCUCACUGCUCUUUGCAUUUCGCUCAACAGCCCCGGUCAUUCUUCCUCGAGGAAACGAAGGUAGCAUUCACACUCUCACUGCUGACGGGCAAGGCUGCCGUCUGGGGGACGGCGGUGUGGGAAAACAAGGACAUCUGCUGCUCCUCGUUCUCCCUGCUAUCCGAGGAAAUGAAGAGGGUAUUCGAUCGCUCCGUCGUCGGGAAAGAAGCCGCCCGACUCCUCACUGAGCUCCGGCAGGGGGAGCGGUCUGUAUCGGACUAUGCCAUCGAGUUCCGGACCCUGGCGGCGGAGUGCAGGUGGAACGAGGAGGCGCAGUGGGACCAUUUCCUGCAUGGGUUGGCGGACCGGAUCCAGCGAGAGAUAAUCACGGCGGAGUUACCGACCUCUCUCAACGGGCUGGUGGAUUUGGUGAUCCGGGUCGACGCACGACUGUCCAUGGCAGCCAGAAGGAAGUCUUCCACCACGUCCCAGCAGCGUACUGAACUGUUCAACCUUCCCAGCGAAGUCUCCACCGGCGUUCUCUCAGAUCUAGAACCCAUGCAGGUGGGUCGAGCUCGGCUGUCCCGGGAGGAGAGGAAUUGGCGGAGAUCCCAAGGAUUGUGCAUGUACUGUGGAGAGCCGGGUCAUCAAUGCCAGAGGUGCCCGGUAAAAGACCAAGCCCGGUAGUAAAACAGAGGCUACUAUCGGGUGAGAUCUCUGCUCACAAGACCUCGACAACAUCCACUCUCCUUCCGGUGAGACUACGGUGGUCCACCAAGUCACACAUCGGUCACGCACUUCUGGACUCCGGGGCGGAGGGCAAUUUCAUCGACAGUUCCCUCGCACGUAAGCUUCAGAUUCCAUUCAAACCACUUACCCACCAGAUUGCGCCCCCUUCGCCCUCAAUGAACAUCAGCUUCCCACCAUCAAGCACACCACCGCUCCUGUCACACUCAUCACCUCUGGCAACCACACCGAGAAUAUCUAAUUUUUCAUCACUGACACUUCUCUCUCCCCCAUUGUUCUCAGACAUCCUUGGCUCCACUCCCAUAAUCCCAAAAUUGACUGGAAACUGGGUUCUGUUACUAGCUGGAGCGAGGAGUGUCAUAAGUCCUGUCUUAAUCUGUGGCAAUGAAUUACUCACAUCAACACUAAAAUAAUAUUUGUAUGUGGAAUUUGCGUUGAUGGGUUAAGUGUUUCUAAUUCGUUUUUCCUGAAUGUUUCAAAAUGUUAAUUAGUAAAUUAGUUAAUGCAAAUACAGUAUUAUUAAUGAAUUCUAUAAAUGAAUGCUUUCAGGUUAUAAAGCCAUAUUAAAAUCAUAUUCGGACUCUUGUUUACAGUAAAGGAUGAGUGAAAUUACAUUCUCUCUGUGCAAUAAGUGUUUUUAUAGCAGUUGUAUGUAAAAAUUGUCUUUGUGUACAGUGGCAGUUUUGUGUUUUAUCCAUUUAAUAAAAAUGUUUUUAUAUGA